UGUUUUGGACGACUUCUGGCUAGCGAGCUAACGAAUGGCUCAAGCUAAGUCAAAGUGUGACUGCAGUGUGCCUUUCUGCACAUCUAACAAACAGCGCCAGCAUUAUUUAACGUUUUCACGGCUCCCCCAGUGAUUUGGCUGAGAGAAGAAAGUGGAUUCAGCUUAUUCGCCAUGACAAAGGUCCGGACUUCAAUGUUCCUCACGGUACCUUCGUAUGAAGCCGGAACUUCACAGAGGAAGACCACACCGGGGCUAGCAUCAGUUUUCAGUGGAAUAACUGGGCAGAGUCACAACAUACUGUCUGGUGUAUUUGUGCACAUUACAGCAUGAUGAAGGUCAAGGCUGUACCAUCAUCAGUGACCGGUACAAACAGGGCAUCAACCACGGAUACAGGCCUGCAGUGACAAGACAACACUACAGGAAAAAUUCAUCAAUUAACUGUAACCUGCGCUGUGGGCUGGGGGAAGUGAGACAAGAUAUUCCGCCUUUUUCUGUGCUUUUGACCGAUAAACAAGAGAUGCUGAUAGCUGAAUAGCUUCCAAGAAUGCCUGAAAAACCUCUUGUGAAGGAAAUCGUGUGUAGAAGCGGAUGUCUAUGGGGAGAGAUUUGUCUCAAAAUUAUGCACAAAUAUAUAUCCACAAUUUACACAUGUUUUUCAGAUCCACAAAUAUAUCCAAAAGAUCCACAAAUAUUUCCACGAUUUACACAAAUAUAAACUUAACUUAGUUUCCAGCAGUAACAGUUUUUUCAAUAAAAAAAACGGGGGGUUAUGGAACCAUACUGGCAUUGAAAGGGUUAAAAUUUCUAAAAUAUCAUCAUUAUUUGAUUUGUGUAUUUCAGGCUGAAGUAGUUCUACAAGACUGACUUGUUUAAAGUGGGUAAAAAUAUUAAUGUAUCAUAUUUUUACAGCAGUUUUGGUGAGGUGGCCAAUUUCUGCCCAAAGGAACAAAUGUGUGUGUUUUUCUAAAAAUUUGACUCCCCAGAAAAAUGAAAAUGCAUGAAAAUCAAUGUUAAUGUCAAUCAAUGUCCCAUCUCAGGACCUAAAAAUAAAAAUAAGCUGAUAAAAAACAGCUGGAAGAGGAUUUUGCAGCUUAUUAGGUUAAUUUCCAACUGAUCACUAGCAUGACUGGGUAUUAAAGAAGCAUUUUAGAGAGGCAGAGUCUCUCAGAAGUAAAGAUGGACAGAGGUUCACCAAUCUGUGAAAAAAUGUAACUAAAAAUUGUGGAACAAUUUCCGAAAAAUGUUCCUCAAGACUC